GAGGUUUUAGUUUAGGUCUCAUUGGGUUUGCUACAUCACAUGUAAACCUAUCUACCCCGCUCUCAUUCACAUCACAUGCAAAUGGCACAUCGCAGGCAGUUAUAAUCGCAGCAAUAAAUAAAGCUAAACUUUAAAUAGGUAAUGAUCAUGGAUUCUAAUUAGGUCAUAUUACAAGCACAUGCACGUCAAUCGAUCAACUGGUCUUCAACUCUUG
rnacentral:lncRNA from 1 species